AGAUCAAGAAGAAUCUGGUCGCUUUCCACAGUUCUCCCUGGGCCUCACAGACUCUCCCACAAACCAUAGCAGAGGAUAGACAUUCAAAACCUAAGAGAAGGGGAUGAGGAAGCAGAGACACCGGAAGAGAAGCAACUAGUUCAACAUGGCGGAGAGAGGCUGCUUGACCCACUUUCUAGGGUACCUAGCAACCUGUCCUUCUUUGACAGCAGUGACCACACCCAGAGAACUUGAAAAUGAAUUUGACUGUCUGCUUGCCCGUGCCUCCUGAACCAGUCUUCAAAUAAAAAACAAAAGAAUCUCCAUCU